rnacentral:misc_RNA from 1 species
GCCGCCUCUGCUGCCGCCUUCUGAAUGUCCUUUGCAUCAGCGGACGCAGGUACAGGAAGCCGCCACGACGAGUCCGCAAAAUUCAAGCACGCAGACCGUCCUCUUAGAGCCAGCGCCGCCACGUCGUGGGCCCGAGCAGCCAUUUCCGCCGUGGGGAAAGUUCCCAACCAUAUUCUUGAUUUCUUGUUGGGUUCUCUAACUUCACAAACCCACUUCCCGGAGUUCCUCCGGCGGACCCCACGGUAAACAGGAUGACGAGUCUCCCGGAACUUCUUUCGGCCUGCCCGCUUCUUGGGAUAGCUGGAAGCUAACAAGACUUCUUCAUCAGAAAGGUUUGCACGAGGAGCGCUGCAACUAUCAGAUAAGGAAGAAGAAUCUGGCAAGUCAGGUGACCAAGAAUGAUUGGCAAAAGAUAGUGGGUCAGAAUAGCGAGAGAAGACAUCCAUUUCUUAAAAAAUUAUAAGGUUGAUAAGGAUUGGUUUAAGCGAGUAGUGAGCGUGGGAGUGUUAGUUUUGGGGGGUUUUUUUUUU